CAGAGCGGAGGAGCCAUGGCUUUGCCAGCCGGGGCCGUGGGGGGAUCCGUGACCCCCGGGACAGCAGUGGCCGGCUUGGCCUGGCUCCCCUGGGCAGCCCAGGCGGCCUGGCCUGCGACGGGAGCUGCAGCGUGCCCCUCGGGUUGGCAUCGGGUCAAAGAGCCGCAGGAGCGUGGCCCUGCGCCCCUCUCCCCUGCUGUGGCCAUGACACCUCCCAUGCAGAGCGCAGAGGUGCGACGGAGGGGUUUCUGUGAGCUUUUCCCAAGGACAGAAAGCAGUUUACAGGCCCUGAUGGUUUCAGCUGCAGUGAAGAAGAGCACCUGCAGGAAGCUGGCUAUAGUAACUUGCUGCUCAGCUAUGCCAUCCCUGUGAAAGUGAUAAUAGCCCUUUAUGCUGCAGCCCCUAUAGAAGAUCAGUCACUGAAGUUAACAGAAGCACACACGGAUGGGUAUUGCAGCGUAUAUUAACUUCAGCUGAAGAAACAAGAUGGUUGCGAAGAAAGAGGAAAGACAACUCUCACUGCCUCAAUCAGAGAGGAAGGAUGCAUUGAAUUCCUGAAUUUGGAAGGAGAGAAUAAGAAUUAAUCCCCUCCUAAUCGCUGUCGCAGCCCCAUUCUGCCUUGUUUUCCUCCAGAUGGUUAAAGGGCCGAGCGAUGGGCAGUUCUUUAAUAUGCAGAGCUACCACGGCCCUGUCUUCUCAAAGGUGAAAGUGGCUUAGCAAAUAUCUAGCUUCUCUAAGAACAGCUUAUGGUGUGUAUUUGAGUGAAGGAUUUUUUCGGGAAAAAAAAAAAAAAAAGA